rnacentral:rRNA from 1 species
AGAGUUUGAUCCUGGCUCAGGACGAACGCUGGCGGCGUGCCUAAUACAUGCAAGUCGAGCGAGCUUGCCUAGAUGAUUUUAGUGCUUGCACUAAAUGAAACUAGAUACAAGCGAGCGGCGGACGGGUGAGUAACACGUGGGUAACCUGCCCAAGAGACCGGGAUAACACCUGGAAACAGAUGCUAAUACCGGAUAACAACACUAGACGCAUGUCUAGAGUUUGAAAGAUGGUUCUGCUAUCACUCUUGGAUGGACCUGCGGUGCAUUAGCUAGUUGGUAAGGUAACGGCUUACCAAGGCAAUGAUGCAUAGCCGAGUUGAGAGACUGAUCGGCCACAUUGGGACUGAGACACGGCCCAAACUCCUACGGGAGGCAGCAGUAGGGAAUCUUCCACAAUGGACGAAAGUCUGAUGGAGCAACGCCGCGUGAGUGAAGAAGGGUUUCGGCUCGUAAAGCUCUGUUGGUAGUGAAGAAAGAUAGAGGUAGUAACUGGCCUUUAUUUGACGGUAAUUACUUAGAAAGUCACGGCUAACUACGUGCCAGCAGCCGCGGUAAUACGUAGGUGGCAAGCGUUGUCCGGAUUUAUUGGGCGUAAAGCGAGUGCAGGCGGUUCAAUAAGUCUGAUGUGAAAGCCUUCGGCUCAACCGGAGAAUUGCAUCAGAAACUGUUGAACUUGAGUGCAGAAGAGGAGAGUGGAACUCCAUGUGUAGCGGUGGAAUGCGUAGAUAUAUGGAAGAACACCAGUGGCGAAGGCGGCUCUCUGGUCUGCAACUGACGCUGAGGCUCGAAAGCAUGGGUAGCGAACAGGAUUAGAUACCCUGGUAGUCCAUGCCGUAAACGAUGAGUGCUAAGUGUUGGGAGGUUUCCGCCUCUCAGUGCUGCAGCUAACGCAUUAAGCACUCCGCCUGGGGAGUACGACCGCAAGGUUGAAACUCAAAGGAAUUGACGGGGACCCGCACAAGCGGUGGAGCAUGUGGUUUAAUUUGAAGCAACGCGGAGAACCUUACCAAGUCUUGACAUCCUGCUGACCGUCCCUUAGCCGGGGCUUUCCUUCGGGACAGCAGAGACAGGUGGUGCAUGGUUGUCGUCAGCUCGUGUCGUGAGAUGUUGGGUUAAGUCCCGCAACGAGCGCAACCCUUAUCCUCAGUAGCCAGCAUUACGGAUGGGAACUCUGGGGAGACAGCCGGAGACAAUCCGGAGGAAGGUGGGGAUGACGUCAAAUCAUCAUGCCCCUUAUGACUUGGGCUACACACGUGCUACAAUGGUGGUAACAAAGUGAAGCGACCCCGUGAGGGUGAGCCAACCACAGAAAAGCCAUCUCAGUUCGGAUUGUAGUCUGCAACCCGACUACAUGAAGCUGGAAUCGCUAGUAAUCGCAGAUCAGAAUGCUGCGGUGAAUACGUUCCCGGGUCUUGCACACACCGCCCGUCA